rnacentral:rRNA from 1 species
UACGAAGGGGGCUAGCGUUGUUCGGAAUUACUGGGCGUAAAGGGCUCGUAGGCGGCCAACUAAGUCAGACGUGAAAUCCCCAGGCUCAACCUGGGAACUGCGUCUGAUACUGGAUGGCUUGAAUUCGGGAGAGGGAUGCAGAAUUCCAGGUGUAGCGGUGAAAUGCGUAGAUAUCUGGAGGAAUACCGGUGGCGAAGGCGGCAUCCUGGACCGACAUUGACGCUGAUGAGCGAAAGCUAGGGGAGCAAACGGG